rnacentral:rRNA from 1 species
UACGUAGGGACCAAGCGUUGUUCGGAUUUACUGGGCGUAAAGGGCGCGUAGGCGGUCAGCACAAGUCAGUUGUGAAAUCUCCGGGUUUAACUCGGAAAGGUCAACUGAUACUGUGCGACUAGAGUGCGGAAGGGGCAACUGGAAUUCUCGGUGUAGCGGUGAAAUGCGUAGAUAUCGAGAGGAACACCUGCGGCGAAGGCGGGUUGCUGGGCCGACACUGACGCUGAUGCGCGAAAGCCAGGGGAGCGAACGGG